rnacentral:rRNA from 1 species
CAAUAUGAAGGUCAGGCUGAAGACCUUACCCGAUUAGCUGAGAGGUGGUGCAUGGCCGUCGUCAGUUCGUACUGUGAAGCAUCCUGUUAAGUCAGGCAACGAGCGAGACCCACGUCCACAGUUGCCAGCAUACCCUCCGGGGUGAUGGGUACACUGUGGAGACCGCCGCUGCUAAAGCGGAGGAAGGAGUGGGCAACGGUAGGUCAGUAUGCCCCGAAUCUCCCGGGCUACACGCGGGCUACAAUGGUUGGUACAAUGGGCAUCUACCCCGAAAGGGGAAGGAAAUCUCUUAGAGCCAAUCGUAGUUCGGAUUGAGGGCUGCAACUCGCCCUCAUGAAGCUGGAAUCCGUAGUAAUCGCGUUUCAACAGAACGCGGUGAAUACGUCCCUGCUCCUU